UUCCUUCCUUCUUCUUUGAAACGCUUCAUAAAUUAUAUAUGGAAAGUUGAACGAUUCAUCAAUUGCCUUAAGAUCUGUUGCUAAAUUAUGGAACCGUUUCCAAUUUUAAGGCUUAUAUACAAUUUACUGCUUUUAAUCGGAGGAUUCAAAGGAUCAUUCAAGUUGCCUGCUUUGUUUUAUCUUCAUCAUCCUUUGAAAGUGAAGCAUCUAUAAAUUUGCCUCAGAUGGGUUCAGUUGAUUAUUAUGCUGCCAUGACCCACCGUGACCGCCUUUUUCAUCGUCGCCAUCUCGCCUCCGCCACCGUCGAGUCUUCUUUGGCGUUUCUUGAUGGCAAUGAAACUUAUCAGCUUAAGUCUCUUGGAUUAUUUUCAUCUUUAGCGGACACGCUAUAGCCGCGUCUUCUCAAUGAUAGUGACAACCAUUGAGGAUUCACAUGUAAUGCGAUCCAGGGAAUUUAAUUGCAUUUGGACCAACUGAGUCCUGUAACCGUUGGGUGUGGGUUCACGACUUUCAACUAACAUCGGCCGCUGGAAAAAGUUAACUGCAUUUACGUGUUUCAAGAUAAGCUCGAAGUUUGAAUAAGAUGACAUAUUAUUUGUACAGAAGUGGUAAAGUUGUGACUCAUCGAUCAUGAUCAUAAUAACAAUCUACACAAGCUUAUUGUCUUAAGAUUUAUAGUAGAGCAUUGAGCCAGACAUGUAAGGAUAUCUUACAAGUUGCUUAUUAUGCCAUCUUUCUUUUUACUGAAAUACGUAUUUAUUAUUGGUUUAUUUGAACCAACAAAUCGUUUGGUUGUGUUCUUUUUACUAUUGCCAUAAAAAUGGAUUUAUUUUGCUGUAAUUUCAGGAAGAUUUAAUUGUGGCACGAUCGGGGAGAUGAUGAACGACUCCUGCUUCCUGUUGCAAUGAGAUUUUUGGUUGUCGCCAUAGUCACAACUCACAAUGAGUCUUCGGCCAGAGAAAGAUCGAUUAAGUGUACCGAUUCUGAUCAUCAGUAGAUUACAACAGUUACGAUCAUGUUUGUUUGAGCAACCCAUCAUCAAAAUCAAGUUAGCUCCCUCAUCAAUCAUUACAGUUGAGUGAGUUGACUAGAAACGUCCAGUCUACAUCAGCAACACCCCUUAGCAGCAGAUCAGCAGCCCGCAUAAGAUCAGCAGGUUUAUAGUAGUGGCCAGCAGUACAAUUUGAUGUUUUGUUCGACUCAACCGUCUUUUGCAGGUUUGAUGCACACAGAGCACUACUGAUUGUCAACAGUUUCCAACUGCGGGUUUGUCUUCUCUGUAUGUCCAGCUGGUGGAGUACAAUCCAGAUAAACUGCAUGAGUUUGUUCUUUGGACCAAGUGAGGUAAAUCCACAUACCCCAUCAGGUCAAGGAGCUGGUAUCGCAUUUGCUGCAGUAGCUGGUGUGAUGGACAUGCUGCAGGAGCUGGUAUCGCAUUAACAAUCGAAGCUUUUCAAACCGUUACCUAUCUUAAGGUUGAUAAGGUACAAGUAACCAGGGAAGCAAAAGUUAUUGGCGAUGGUGAUGACAACGAUGGAUGGGCACCAAAAUUGGAGCAUGACAUGUGUUCGAUGCAACAAGAGAGAUGCUUUCGAUAUGGGCUAUAUGGUACAUAACGCUUGGACCGAUUGCAGGUGAGACGAUGUUAGAGAUGACAUGAUUGAAGGAAGAGGCUAAAACGCCGGUUGAGCAACAACUUGCAGCAUAGAGAAGGUGCAUAAACAGCAGAGUGAGACCUUGAAAGCGAACUACAAGUAUGAGCUGAUUGAUGAUGCACAAGACGAUGGGAUGGUGAAGUGUUUUGCUAGCCAUUAUGGGAAAUAAAAACUCGACGACGACUAUUCUGAUGCUUCUAAGCUUCUUGACAUUUGUAACUUCAUAGUUUAAGUGAAAGUGAUGCUUAAGAAAAAAAAAUUAGGUCGUUUAUAUUUGUGUAACGCCAUUAAUUCCUGUUUUGAUAGAUUUAUAUUGGCUGUAGAUUGGAGGCUGCUAGCAUCUUCAGGUUAUCCUCAAACUUCAGGUCGCUUGAACUUAUGUUCAUUUUUUUUGUAGACAUCAAAGUAACUCAAAUUGCAAGCCUAACAACUAAAACUUUAGGCAACAAUUACUAUUGUGUGACUAAAGAAACUUUGAAGGACCGAUUAACUACCAACAUAAAUGCAACAUGCCAACUUAUUCCCCAAAAGUGCAGGUGUUGCGUAUAGGAAACCAUCACCGACUAUAUUUCAAUUGCGAACUAUAUGUUUUCCGACGAGGUGAUGAGUAGUUUGCUUGAUAACAACACAUGGCCAUAUUGGCCCGAAGAUAAUCCGAUUUCCAUGCUAGCGUGUGGCGGUAUCGUGUUGAUAUCGUACCAUUACCGAACCAAACCGAUUAUCUAACGAAUUUUGUCACGCUCCUGCUCGAGCCGGUGCUUAUAUAUGUUAAUUUUAGGAAACUCAUCAUAGAUGUAAAAAGAUAAAUUGUUAGCUUGCUUUUAAAGAGGCUUAUGGGUUCAAAAAACUUGAGACGUAAGGUGAGAGUUUCACA
rnacentral:lncRNA from 1 species